rfam:Planctomycetes bacterium RBG_13_44_8b RBG_13_scaffold_2236, whole genome shotgun sequence.
GGAGCAGUGGCUGAGUGGUUUAAAGCGACGGUCUUGAAAACCGUUUUACCCUUUCGGGUAACGGGGGUUCGAAUCCCUCCUGCUCCG